ACACAUCUCAAUCAAUCAAUCAAUCAAUCAAUCAAUCAAUCUCAUGAACUCACCCUCCACCGUGCAACAACAACCCUAGAUGAUCGCAAUCGAAUCUUGUGGACAAAUAAUUGGUACUGCAGGGUACCCAUUGCUGACCUUAAUCCGUUCCCAGUUCAUGAUCCACCAGCAUCGUUCCAAUCAUCCAGUUCUUGCGGCGGCGAAGACGAUGAGCGAAACAUCCG
rnacentral:lncRNA from 1 species